GAUGAACGCUGGCGGCGUGCCUAAUACAUGCAAGUCGAGCGAACGGCCUAGUAGCUUGCGUCUCUUAUGUUAGCGGCGGACGGGAGAGUAACACGUGGAUACCCUACCUAUAAUACUGGGAUAACUUCGGGAAACCGUAGCUAAUACCGGCUCUUCUUUUGUACCGCAUGGUUAAAAAGUUAACGACGGUCUUGCUGUCCCUUAUCGUUGGAUCCGCGUUGCAUUAGCUUGUUGGUCAGGUAACGGCUUACCAAGGCAGCCAGGCAUGGUCGCCCUGCGCGGGUGAUCGGCGACACUGGAACGGAGACACGGUCCAGACUACUGAGGGAGGCAGCAGUAGGGAAUCUGCCGCAAUGGGCGAAAGCCUGACGGAGCAACGGCGCGUGAGUGAUGAAGGUCUUCGGAUCGGAAAACUCUGUUAUUAGGGAAGAACAUAUGUGUAAGUAACUGUGCACAUCGUGACGGUACCUAAACAGAAAGCCACGGCUAACUACGUG
rnacentral:rRNA from 1 species